rnacentral:rRNA from 1 species
UACGUAGGGUGCGAGCGUUUAAUCGGAAUUACUGGGCGUAAAGCGUGCGCAGGCGGUUCGUCGUGUCCGAUGUGAAAGCCCCGGGCUCAACCUGGGAAUGGCAUUGGAAACUGGCGGACUCGAGUGUGGCAGAGGGGGUGGAAUUCCGCGUGUAGCAGUGAAAUGCGUAGAGAUGCGGAGGAACACCGAUGGCGAAGGCAGCCCCCUGGGCUAACACUGACGCUCAGGUCGCGAAAGCGUAGGGGGAGCGAAACGGG